UUUGAUAACCUGUAAGUAGGGUUUGCGUUUCGGCCGCAAACAGGGAGUGAUAAAUCUUCUGUCAAAG
rnacentral:tRNA from 1 species